rnacentral:rRNA from 1 species
UACGUAGGGGGCAAGCGUUGUCCGGAAUCAUUGGGCGUAAAGCGCGUGUAGGCGGCCCGGUAAGUCCGCUGUGAAAGUCCAGGGCUCAACCCUGGAAUGCCGGUGGAUACUGUCGGGCUCGAGUCCGGAAGAGGCGAGUGGAAUUCCUGGUGUAGCGGUGAAAUGCGUAGAUAUCCGGAGGAACACCGGUGGCGAAGGCGGCUUCCUGGACCGACACUGACGCUGAGGCGCGAAAGCCAGGGGAGCAAACGGG